CAGGUUGAUGAGACUAAGGCGAAUGCGACUUGGCCUACUGACUCUUGGCUUGGGGGGUUGGGAGGGAGGACAACUGGUAAGAUCUGAAAUCUUGGUGGGGGUACCUGAGGCCUGACUCCCUGCUGUAAGGCCAGAUCAACAGCACUGCUGGCCUUGCCUUUGUGUCAGCUGCCACCACAGUACUGGCAGCAUCCUAUAGGGAGGCCCACAAGGGGUAGCCAAAGUGUGAGUAGCCAUGUGAGCGCAACCUUGAUUCUGACA